GCUAGUAAUCGUAGGUCAGCAUACUACGGUGAAUACGUUCCCGGGCCUUGUACACACCGCCCGUCACACCAUGAGAGUUGGGAAUACCCGAAGCCUGUGAGCUAACUUUUAGAGGCAGCAGUCGAAGGUAGAAUCAAUGAUUGGGGUGAAGUCGUAACAAGGUAAC
rnacentral:rRNA from 1 species